CAGCCGCCACGGGAAUACGGAGGGAGCUAGCGUUGUUCGGAAUUACUGGGCGUAAAGCGCGCGUAGGCGGUUACUCAAGUCAGAGGUGAAAGCCCGGGGCUCAACCCCGGAACUGCCUUUGAUACUGGGUGUCUAGAGUAUGGAAGAGGUGAGUGGAAUUCCGAGUGUAGAGGUGAAAUUCGUAGAUAUUCGGAGGAACACCAGUGGCGAAGGCGGCUCACUGGUCCAUUACUGACGCUGAGGUGCGAAAGCGUGGGGAGCAAACAGGAUUAGAUACCCCCGUAGACCCUGUCUCUUAUAC
rnacentral:rRNA from 1 species